rnacentral:rRNA from 1 species
CCUACGGGAGGCAGCAGUCGGGGAUAUUGCACAAUGGGCGAAAGCCUGAUGCAGCGACGCCGCGUGGGCGAAGAAGGCCUUCGGGUUGUAAAGCCCUUUUCUGGGGGAAGAGAAAGGACGGUACCCCAGGAAUAAGCGUCGGCUAACUACGUGCCAGCAGCCGCGGUAACACGUAGGACGCGAGCGUUAUCCGGAUUUACUGGGCGUAAAGCGCGUUGAGGCGGUUCCAUAAGUCGGACGUGAAAGCCCCCGGCUCAACUGGGGGAGGCCGUUCGAUACUGUGGAACUUGAGGGCAGCAGAGGGAAGCGAAAUUCCCGGUGUAGCGGUGAAAUGCGUAGAGAUCGGGAGGAACACCAGUGGCGAAGGCGGCGUCCUGGCCGACACCUGACGCUGAAGCGCGAAAGCGUGGGGAGCGAACGGGAUUAGAUCCCCCUGUAGU